GGCUCCAUCAUCUAAUUGGUAAGAUAUAAAUUUAAAAUUAAAUUUAAAAUAUAGGUUCAAAUCCUUUUGGAGCCA
rnacentral:tRNA from 1 species